rnacentral:piRNA from 1 species
UCAGUAACUGGAUGGACCUGCUCUGAUAG